GGAAGUAAAAGUCGUAACGAGGUCUCCGUAGGUGAACCUGCGGAGGGAUCAUUACAGAGUUCAUGCCCUACCGGGUAGAUCUCCCACCCUAUGGUAUUAUUACUUUGUUGCUUUGGCGGGCCGUUAGGCUCCGGCCCGACUACCGGCCCCGGCUGGUAAGCGCCCGCCAGAGGACCCAAAACCCUGAAUAUUAGUGUCGUCUGAGUACUAUAUAAUAGUUAAAACUUUCAACAACGGAUCUCUUGGUUCUG
rnacentral:misc_RNA from 1 species